AGUAACAUUUUUUCUUGAGAAAUAGCUCUUUGCUAAGAAGCUAUUUUUGUUUCUUUUUGACCAUUUUAAUUGAAAACAAUCAUAGUGAAAUACUUAAUUGUUACUCAGAAAUUAUUUGACAUUGAGAUGAAAAAGGCUACCCGGGCAGCAGGUAGCCAAGUGGUUAGAGCAUUCGGCCAGUAACUGAAAAGUUUCUAGAUCAAAUCCCUGAGCUGACAAGGUGUGUAGGCCCUGAGUCUGUCUGUCUGUCUCUCUGUGCUGCACACCACCGCUGUGCACUUCUGUCUGUCUGGGAACCAUCCCAAACAUUUAGGUUGACAAAACCAACAGCAGAGCUAUCUCAAGGGGAGACAGAGCCUAAUUAUGUUUGUAUUGAAAGGAGGAGGCACAGACAGAUUACAAACAGGAGGAGACAGAGGAGUGAAAGUGGGAGUGGAAUUGAACUCCGACUUCUGGGGAAGUAAGAUGACCUCCUUAACUCUAGGAGACCAAGAUCGAUGCAGGGACAAUGUUGUGAAAUCAAUGAACUAGUCAUGAUCGUUGUACUGAUACACUCACUGAGAAACACAGCAGGGAUGUUUAGAUUAGUUCCAAGGCACUGAAGCUCACACACAAACAGGCACACACACACACACAAACAGGCACACACACACAC